GAACGAACGGAUCUCUCUGUUUGGUUGACUAGUGGACUCAGUUCUGCUCCUCUGUCUAAAUUCUUUUUAUUUAUAUUUUUGGAUUUUAUGUUUUAAAAAAGAAAUAAAGGAAAAUCUAAGAGUUCCUUUUUAAAUAGUUGCGUGGAAGUGAAUAGACAUUAGAGAGAGUCGCAGAGGGUAUUUGUUGCUCGUGGGCUCGUCCACCUAACGCGCUAUAUGCGCCGUUGAUCUUUGAUUUUUUUUUGGUCGGCGAUCGUUUUUUUUUUCUUUCUUCUUUUUGGUUAACUUUUAUUUUGUGGUUUUAAAACGAUAAAUCCUCCUAUUUAUUUUUUAUUUUAUGUCGACGAUAAAAGCCUCUUUUUUUGUGUGUGUGCCAACGAUAAAACCUAAUAUUAAAAGCAGUUGUUUAUUAAAUAUUUAAUC